AUUGAACGCUGGCUGCAGGCUUAACACAUGCAAGUCGAACGAUGAUUAUCUAGCUUGCUAGAUAUGAUUAGUGGCGGACGGGUGAGUAACAUUUAGGAAUCUGCCUAGUAGUGGGGGAUAGCUCGGGGAAACUCGAAUUAAUACCGCAUACGACCUACGGGUGAAAGGGGGCGCAAGCUCUUGCUAUUAGAUGAGCCUAAAUCAGAUUAGCUAGUUGGUGGGGUAAAGGCCCACCAAGGCGACGAUCUGUAACUGGUCUGAGAGGAUGAUCAGUCACACCGGAACUGAGACACGGUCCGGACUCCUACGGGAGGCAGCAGUGGGGAAUAUUGGACAAUGGGGGCAACCCUGAUCCAGCCAUGCCGCGUGUGUGAAGAAGGCCUUUUGGUUGUAAAGCACUUUAAGCAGGGAGGAGAGGCUAAUGGUUAAUACCCAUUAGAUUAGACGUUACCUGCAGAAUAAGCACCGGCUAACUCUGUGCCAGCAGCCGCGGUAAUACAGAGGGUGCGAGCGUUAAUCGGAAUUACUGGGCGUAAAGCGAGUGUAGGUGGCUCAUUAAGUCACAUGUGAAAUCCCCGGGCUUAACCUGGGAACUGCAUGUGAUACUGGUGGUGCUAGAAUAUGUGAGAGGGAAGUAGAAUUCCAGGUGUAGCGGUGAAAUGCGUAGAGAUCUGGAGGAAUACCGAUGGCGAAGGCAGCUUCCUGGCAUAAUAUUGACACUGAGAUUCGAAAGCGUGGGUAGCAAACAGGAUUAGAUACCCUGGUAGUCCACGCCGUAAACGAUGUCUACUAGCCGUUGGGGUCCUUGAGACUUUAGUGGCGCAGUUAACGCGAUAAGUAGACCGCCUGGGGAGUACGGCCGCAAGGUUAAAACUCAAAUGAAUUGACGGGGGCCCGCACAAGCGGUGGAGCAUGUGGUUUAAUUCGAUGCAACGCGAAGAACCUUACCUGGUCUUGACAUAGUGAGAAUCCUGCAGAGAUGCGGGAGUGCCUUCGGGAAUUCACAUACAGGUGCUGCAUGGCUGUCGUCAGCUCGUGUCGUGAGAUGUUGGGUUAAGUCCCGCAACGAGCGCAACCCUUUUCCUUAUUUGCCAGCGGGUUAAGCCGGGAACUUUAAGGAUACUGCCAGUGACAAACUGGAGGAAGGCGGGGACGACGUCAAGUCAUCAUGGCCCUUACGACCAGGGCUACACACGUGCUACAAUGGUAGGUACAGAGGGUUGCUACACAGCGAUGUGAUGCUAAUCUCAAAAAGCCUAUCGUAGUCCGGAUUGGAGUCUGCAACUCGACUCCAUGAAGUCGGAAUCGCUAGUAAUCGCAGAUCAGAAUGCUGCGGUGAAUACGUUCCCGGGCCU
rnacentral:rRNA from 1 species